rnacentral:tmRNA from 2 species
GGGGGCGCACUGGCUUCGACGUGGAUACGGCGAGGUACGUGGCGUGUCGGAGGUCUCAGUAACUCCGUUAUUAACUGCUGAGAACGUUAUAACUGCCAACGAUGACGCGCAGUUCGCGAUGGCCGCGUAAGCAGCUUUUCGCGACAGAUGCUCCCUAACCGGAGCCCGUUAAUCAGAGCUUUGCCUGUGGGCUUUGCUUAACGACAUACAGCAGGCUUGGCGAGUCGGGCUUCAUCCUUCGACGCCUCGCGACAUUCCGAAGGGUCCUCGAAGAACAUGGCCUGUCCGUGGACAGUGGUCGGAGAGGUAAAAAGUGAAUCGCGGACUACACACGUAGAAGCGUACAUUCAAUGGUUCGCGGACGCGGGUUCGAUUCCCGCCGCCUCCAUUC